rnacentral:rRNA from 1 species
CGGGAGGCAGCAGUAGGGAAUCUUCGGCAAUGGGCGAAAGCCUGACCGAGCAACGCCGCGUGAGCGAUGAAGGCCUUCGGGUCGUAAAGCUCUGUUGUUAGAGCAGCACUUAGGUACGAGAGUAACUGCUCGUACCUUGACGGUUUUUAACCAGAAAGCCACGGCUAACUACGUGCCAGCAGCCGCGGUAAUACGUAGGUGGCAAGCGUUAUCCGGAAUUAUUGGGCGUAAAGCGCGCGCAGGCGGUCUCUUAAGUCUGAUGUGAAAGCCCACGGCUCAACCGUGGAGGGUCAUUGGAAACUGGGAGACUUGAGUGCAGGAGAGAAAAGUGGAAUUCCACGUGUAGCGGUGAAAUGCGUAGAGAUGUGGAGGAACACCAGUGGCGAAGGCGGCUUUUUUGGCCUGUAACUGACGCUGAGGCGCGAAAGCGUGGGGAGCAAACAGGAUUAGAUACCCUGGUAGUCCACGCCGCGCAUUUCACCGCUAACCGUUGGAGGGUUCCACCCUCAGUGCUGAAGGAUUUAAAAUUCAAAAUUUAUGUAUACUGCCGGGCGGCGUGUUUUGAGGAAAAGA